UUAAAAAUAGCUCAAUUGGCAGAGCAUGAGACUCUUAAUCUCAAGGUUGCAGGUUUGACCCCUGCGUUGGGCUUAAU